rnacentral:rRNA from 1 species
UACGUAGGGUGCGAGCGUUAAUCGGAAUUACUGGGCGUAAAGCGUGCGCAGGCGGUUUUGUAAGCCAGAUGUGAAAUCCCCGGGCUUAACCUGGGAAUGGCAUUUGGGACUGCAAGGCUUGAGUGCGGCAGAGGAGACUAGAAUUCCUGGUGUAGCAGUGAAAUGCGUAGAUAUCAGGAGGAAUACCGAUGGCGAAGGCAGGUCUCUGGGCAGUAACUGACGCUGAGGAGCGAAAGCGUGGGGAGCGAACAGG